GCUUAUAGACUUCACCACGCCUCCACAACUAAGCCCAAAGGGUAUUAGGUAAAUUCUAUUCCUGAUCCUCCAGUGCCACUUGGGCUACCGCCUUGAGGUUUCCGCUGGUAUGAGAGUUUCCUGAGCCAGCAGGUAGAAAGACUUGGGAGUGUUCUCUGUAUCAGCUUUACUUCCCAAGUCUGGCAAGACUGAAUGACUCUUUGGCAAGAGAAUCAUAUGGAUGGAAAUGACUGGGGAGAGAAGAUGCAGCCAGGAUUCUGAUGACUUAAUUUGUCUGCAUUGGUCUCACUUAUGACCUGGAAAAUAGCUGCUAGUUAGAAUGUCACUUUGCUUACUUAUGGUCACUGUGAUCACCAAAAGUCAUCUCUAACUUUGGACUUUGUGAAGGAAGUUAAGAUUAGCUGAGUUCGAACUGAAGUCCUUAAUUCAGUCUUCCACCGAUACUUGAGUUUAGAGACAGUUUAAAAAUUGGUUCUAAGCAAUGCUGAAUUGGAUGUUCAUGCCUCAUUCACUGACCAGCCUGUGUUGAAGUCCUCAACCCCUGGGAAGUUUUGGAGGUUUGGAAUUACAGGUGUGUGCAUCAUCGCCCUGCCAUGUAGCAGAUAACACAAUAACAAACACCAGAAGAUCUUGCAAAGUGGAAAGAAAAGUAUUUGAAUGACAUACUUUGAUAUUAUCUUUAAAUAAUGGAAGUAAAGGCAUUUUCAGAUAUGCACAGACUACUACCAUGAGUAAUUUAUGAAGCAUGUUUAUAUCUACUUGUGGGGUAUAGUGUAACAAUUAGAUAGAAACCUAAAAUGUAAAUUGGGAUAAUUAGCAUUUAUAUCUCUCAAGCAUUGAUCUUUCUGUGCUGGGAAUGUUUGACUCUUCUUGCUAUUUUGAAAUACGCCAUACACUGUUUGGGGGAAAAUUAUCCUACUGUGCUGUUGACCACCAGAACUGAUUCUUUUCUCAACGUAUUUUGAUUCCUCUUACUUGGUCUUUCUCUGUCUUUUCUCCUCUAUCUGCUUCCAAGUGUCUCCUGAACUCAGCUGUGGGAUCUUUUGUCCUUUGUUUCUCAAAUUGGUCAGAAGCUUAGUGUUUUUAGUUAUUUGCCUUCAGUGUGUGGCUUACUUCACCUAACACGACUUUCCCUGGAUCAAGCCACUUUGACACAAGUAACAGGAUCUCAUUCUUUUUCUAUGCUUGACAAAUAUUCCUCUGUGUGUGUGUGUGUUUUAGUAUGUGACAUUUUCUUUUUACAUCCAUUUGUCCCCUGACAACUUUGUUGAUUCCAUAUUGACUUUACUGAAUAGUGUUGCAAUAAGCACAAGAGUAUCUCUUUGGCAUUUUAUUUUUACUUUCUUUAGAUACAUUAGUGGAUCAUAUGAAACUUUUAUUUUUAGUUUAAUCUGUAAAAGAAUAUCUAUACUGCCUUCGAGUAUGUGUUCUUCUUUCUCUUAAUCCUCACUGGCAUCUGUAUUUUUCUUCUUGCUUUUUGAUAAUAGCCACACUAAGGGAGUAAGAUAAUUAUAUACUCCUGUGUUUUUAAUUAUAUUUUUACUUACAUAUAAUGUUAUUGAGCAUAUUACCAUAUGUACUUGGCCGUUUGUGUGUCUUUGCUUGACAAAUGUUUAUUAUGGCUAUUAAACCAUUUAAGAAUAACAUUAUUUUGCAGUUAUUUGAAUUCCUUAUAUACUCUGGAUGUUAAUUCUUUGUCGUAUUAUAGUUUCUAAAUACUUCCUCCUAUGUGCUGGUCAUUUUUACUACAUUGACUAUUUGCUGUCUGUGCUGACGUU